CGACGAAGAAGGGGCAGAGAUGGGACAACUCUGUCUAGAAACGAGUGAGCUUUCCCCUCCAGAUCGGGACAGCAGUCCUCGCUCGUCUCCCUUGCCACCAAACAAACGCAAAGGAAAGCGGGCUCGGGAUGAGAGCUUCCUAGACACCAUCGCGGCGAUGGAGGACCGGCGUGCCAUGGCCAGCAAGGAGAGUGAAGACCGACGUGCCAUGGCCAGCAGGGAGAUGCACG